rnacentral:lncRNA from 1 species
AGUUAAAAGAUAGAACAGUCUAGUCAAGUGCCAUGUCUCUUAUUCUUGAUCAGCUAUAGCUCUGAAGUUUUUGCAGAUUUUCAAAUAAAACUCAGAGAUUCCUUUGUUUGACUCUCUCAUAUCUCUCUUUUGUGGUAUUUCUGGAUCCUUACCAAAGCAAUGAUGGUAUAUGCCUUCUCUCAAUAUAUGUGGUAUUUGUGGUAUAUGGCAUAGUGACACUGUCUUCUCUCUCACCCUACUCUAAUAAGGCUUUAAUAUCUGGAGCUCAUAGGUGAGAGAUAAAGUAUACAUACUUACAAGACAUUUAUUGCAUAGUCAAACCAUGGAUCCAAAGAAACAAAUCAAUAAGUCAAAUCAAGAUGUGCAUGUGUGGCGAAUGAAUGGUGUAUGGUGAUGAUGGUGAUAACAAUGGUGAAAGUCUAAUUCUACUUUUUGCUCUUUUGAGGGGAUACAUACCUUUCUUGCUUUUUGAAUAGUGAGGAGAAUGAGAUGCUCUAUCUUUUUCUUUUUCUUUCCUCUCAGGUGGGUAUCUUGUACCCCUAAUUCUACUGUCGGACACUUGUCCAUUUUUACCUCUCGUCUCACUUUUUCUUUCCUUUCGAGGUUCCGGGCACUUGCCCCUUUUUAUUUCCUCUUAUCUCUUUUUUUCUUCACUUUUUUUAGAGCACUCAUCUCUUGAGAUAAUAUAGCAAGUGGUAGUAACAAGAUAACUUGAGCAUUUAUUUCACAGGGAAAAAACAAUAUUUUUGGUCGUUCUCUCCCGGAUUAGGAGUAGAAUAUUUUUGGGUGGUUCUGGAGAUGGAUAUAUGUGGAUGGUACUUCCGGAGUAGAAGUAGCAUAUAUGAGUGAACGUGCAAGUGAAUCUUGAUUUAACCACAUGACAAGCUCCUAAGGGUCUACACAGCUUGACCACACUCAAUGCUCAUAAGCAGUAAAAAGUAAAUGUGUGGCUCAAAGUCUAGCAAUCAUGUAUAUAUGGCUGUGGUAGGAAUUUAAACUCUCAUCAUACAGGAACUCAUCAUGCAACAUUUUAAAGAUUUUCAAAGAUAAAAUUCUCCAGAAUUCUAGCAUCUCUAGGAACAGAUAAACAGCAACUCAACGUUCCCAUAUCGUAUCCGUUAACAACUUAGACUUCAGAUCAAGUUUUCAUCCCACAAGUUUAGGUCUAGAGCAAGCUUUAAAUUAUAACAGUUAUAUCUAAACUUGAGAGAGAACUUAAAAUGUCCAAAUUAGGCAGAGCAACUAUUCAUCAUAUCCAUGCUAAAGUUUUAUUUAGAUACAGAUUAGCAUAGCCACUUUAUUUAUUUAUUAAACAUACUAAGCAAAAGAUGUAUAUAAGCAUAAAAUCUUUAUUUGGUUUUUCAUAGUUUAUGUAUAUUUAUAUUCUAAAAUAGUAUAAGUAUAAAGAUAGAUAGAUAGAAAUACUUAUCGGGAUAAAUGGGGGUGCUCUCCCCCAAGCUGAAUUUUGACGUAAUUUCUCUUGAUGUAGCUAGCAGGUGGUAGAGGUGUAUUUGAAAGUCGGCAGCAUUCUGACAGCGAUUAGAAUGUCUUCCGUCUACUAGUCUUCUUGAUCCUUAAAUUCUGUGGAGCUCAAAUAGACAACAAAGCUUGUGGAACUGAUUAAGUGUUAGCAUAAAUAUCUAGCCUUUAUCAUGUUGAGACUCCUUAAUAAUUAUUACUCCCUGUUUUUAUAUUUUUAUUUUAUAAAGCAGAAAUGAAAUAUUUAUUUUAUUUUUGUGCCACCACAGUGAAUGUACUUAUGGGUUUUAUGCC